rnacentral:RNase_P_RNA from 1 species
GAAGUCGGCUGAGCAGUCGCGGCACCUCUUUUUCGUUUUACGACGGGAAGGCGGGUGCGGAGGAAAGUCCGGGCUCCAUAGGGCAGAGUGCCAGGUAACGCCUGGGGGGCGUGAGCCUACGGAAAGUGCAGCAGAAAAUAUACCGCCGAUGGCCUCGGUUUUCGAACCGAGGCACAGGUAAGGUUGAAAUGGUGCGGUAAGAGCGCACCGCGCGGCUGGUAACAGCAGUGGCAGGGUAAACCCCACUCGGAGCAAGACCAAAUAGGGGAACAUUGAUGUGGUCCGCAUAAGUUCCCGGGUAGGUUGCUUGAGCCGCGUGGCGACACGUUGGCCAGAUGAAUGACUGUUCACGACAGAACCCGGCUUACAGGCCGGCUUCCACC